CCGACGUACAUUUCAGCUAGAUUCUCGUAAUACUUCAUCUUAUCGUGCGAAAUUUUGAUACGUUCUUGGAAUGCGAUGGCGUACUCGUAGUCACCUGCGUUUAUGGAUUUCGCCACACGGGAAUUUGCGCCGUCAGCACCGAUAACGGCGUCAACUUCGAGAGUACGUUUCUCGCCGGCGCCGUUAGUUUUGGAAUCGUACGAUGUGUAGUGAAGAACGUAAGGUGCAUUCGCGGCUUUCGGCAUGUCCAUUUUGAGAAACAAGCCAUUGAGAACGGCAGCUCCGGCGUCGGCAGCACGGCCACGGAGGUAAGCAUCGAGUACUUCGCGGCGCACCAUACCGAUAUACUCGUGAGGCUUUAAUGUCUGUCCGAUAUCUACAGCAACGUUGGAUGGAGAAAUCAUCUUCAUCUUGGUAACUUUUCUGUCGAUGAUAUCAAGAGGAAGAUCGAAUUCCCCCACCAUACAAAGCGGAAUAGCACCACCGCAGGGUUUGCAGUUAUCC
rnacentral:lncRNA from 1 species